GGAGCAGAAAGGUAGUCAUAUCUGAAGGAUGCAGUAUAUAUAUUUUGUGUAAUUCAGUCAGGCGAAAGAUAAUAGUCAAAGACCUGUUAAAUGGUUAGCAGGGACGAGAAAAGUCAGGCAUGCAAUACCUGGGAUGCGUGCCAACUACCGACAAAAGACUCCAAAGCAUGCUCACAAGAAACGUUUCCAUUUGUCUUUUUCGUGCUUGCUUUUUUAUUUAUGGAAGCAUCUGCAAUUGUGACGAAAAACCCCUGCAACUCACAGCUGGUACAUCAAGUCAUAGAAGCACGGGGCAAACCAACGUGUUCUCCAGUCCGCGCCCAAGUUUCGCCAUGACCCUUUCGGCUUCAGUCUCCUGAGAUCCUCACCCUCUCACCUUAUACCCAUCACACCUCCAGGAAAUGGAGUUUGCUUACCAGGAGAUAACCUCUUUUUUGAUGCUGUCCUUGGGGCUGAGGUAGUAGAUUGAAUAGUUGUGGGGAAUCAUUCCUUCUUGUGUGAUAACUAUACAAUCUACUGUCUUUCCUAAGGAGACAGCCGAAUCACCCAUAAGAAAAAGACUACAGGUGGAACUGCACAAAUAAAAAGCCAAGGACAAGAUGGACUGGCAUUCAAAAGGGCAAAGAGGGCAUUUUGAUACUCAGAAAUGUUUGAUGGCCUUAUUACUGUAGUAUAUACUGGAGUGCUCAUAAAUAGAAAAGAGUUGAACUAUAUUAUUUUA